GAUGAACGCUGGCGGCGUGCCUAAUACAUGCAAGUCGAGCGAACAGACGAGGAGCUUGCUCCUCUGACGUUAGCGGCGGACGGGUGAGUAACACGUGGAUAACCUACUUAUAAGACUGGGAUAACUUCGGGAAACCGGAGCUAAUCCCGGAUAAUAUAUUGAACCGCAUGGUUCGAUAGUGAAAGACGGUUUUGCUGUCACUUAUAGAUGGUUCCGCGCCGCAUUAGGUGGUUGGUAGGGUAAAAGCUUUCGAAGGGUACGAUGCGUAACCGACGGGCGGGGGGGAUCGGCGACACUGGAACGGGGACACGGUCCAUGCUCCUACGGGAGGGAGCAGUAGGGAAUCUUCCGCAAUGGGCGAAAGCCUGACGGAACAACGCCGCGUGAGUGGUGAAGGUCUUCGGAGCGGAAAACUCUGUUAUUAGGGGAGAACAAAUGUGUAAGGAACUGUGCACGUCUUGACGGUAACUAAUCAGAAAGCCACGGCUAACUACGUG
rnacentral:rRNA from 1 species